GGGAAAUAUUGGACAAUGGGCGAAAGCCUGAUCCAGCCAUGCCGCGUGUGUGAAGAAGGUCUUCGGAUUGUAAAGCACUUUAAGUUGGGAGGAAGGGCAGUAAGUUAAUACCUUGCUGUUUUGACGUUACCAACAGAAUAAGCACCGGCUAACUUCGUGCCAGCAGCCGCGGUAAUACGAAGGGUGCAAGCGUUAAUCGGAAUUACUGGGCGUAAAGCGCGCGUAGGUGGCUCAGCAAGUUGGAGGUGAAAUCCCCGGGCUCAACCUGGGAACUGCCUCCAAAACUACUGAGCUAGAGUACGGUAGAGGGUAGUGGAAUUUCCUGUGUAGCGGUGAAAUGCGUAGAUAUAGGAAGGAACACCAGUGGCGAAGGCGACUACCUGGACUGAUACUGACACUGAGGUGCGAAAGCGUGGGGAGCAAAC
rnacentral:rRNA from 1 species